UACGUAGGGGGCUAGCGUUGUCCGGAUUUAUUGGGCGUAAAGAGCGUGUAGGCGGCCAUGUAGGUCCGGUGUGAAAACUCGAGGCUUAACCUCGAGAUGUCAUCGGAAACCAUUUGGCUAGAGUCCGGAAGAGGAGAGUGGAAUUCCUGGUGUAGCGGUGAAAUGCGCAGAUAUCAGGAGGAACACCGAUGGCGAAGGCAGUGUUCUGGGCCAGUACUGACGCUGAGGAGCGAAAGCCAGGGGAGCAAACGGG
rnacentral:rRNA from 1 species